rnacentral:rRNA from 1 species
CCAGCACCCCGAGUGGUCGGGACGAUUGUUGGGCCUAAAGCAUCCGUAGCCGGCCUUACAAGUCCCCCGUUAAAUCCAGCUGCUUAACAGAUGGGCUGCGGAGGAUACUAUAAGACUAGGAGGCAGGAGAGGCAAGCGGUACUCAGUGGGUAGGGGUAAAAUCCGUUGAUCCAUUGAAGACCACCAGUGGCGAAGGCGGCUUGCCAGAAUGCGCUCGACGGUGAGGGAUGAAAGCUGGGGGGAGCAAACCGGAUUAGAUACCCGGGUAGUCCCAGCUGUAAACGAUGCAGACUCGGUGAUGGACUAGCUUUAUGCUGGUCCAGUGCCGCAGGGAAGCCGUUAAGUCUGCCGCCUGGAUAGUACGGUCGCAAGACUG